rnacentral:lncRNA from 1 species
AAAACCAAAAUUGUGCAAGAAGAAACAAGGAAUAAAAGCAAUAAAAAGGUCCAAAAAAAAAACAAGAAAGGCUUUGCAAAAGAAAAAAUAAUUAUGACAAAACUAAGAAAUCCAAGAAGACAAGCAAGAAAUUAAAGGUUAAGAAAGAAAGGUUAGCUCUCAAAAGAAAUCCUAAUGAAAGGUGCUAGAAUAGAUUCACAAAACAAAAAAAAUUACUAGAAGAAAAGUGGGUGGUUCUUGCCUUUUGGCAACUUUGAGCAAAUGGGGCACUAAGGCCACUCUUUUAGCAUUAUAGCCAAGACUUUUAGCCACUGGAAAGUGAAGAUAAAUACCCAAAACAGUGAGCAAAACACGUUCCAAAACAGAUUGCACAAAAACAAUGGUAGUGGUCUAAACACACAAUAUUUUUUUUCAGCACUUUUUAGGCUCUCUUUGGUACUCUUUUGAGGCCUUUUGCUUAAAAG